GGAGAGCGGCGAACGGGUGAGUAACACGUGGGCAACCUGCCCCGGACACCGGGAUAACCCAGGGAAACCUGAGCUAAUACCGGAUACUCCGGCGCGAUCGCAUGGUCGUGCCGGGAAAGCUCCGACGGUCCGGGAUGGGCCCGCGGCCUAUCAGCUUGUUGGUGGGGUAACGGCCCACCAAGGCGACGACGGGUAGCUGGUCUGAGAGGACGGCCAGCCACACUGGGACUGAGACACGGCCCAGACUCCUACGGGAGGCAGCAGUGGGGGAUCUUGCGCUAAUGCGCGAAAGCGUGACGCAGCGACGCCGCGUGGGGGAUGAAGGCCUUCGGGUUGUAAACCCCUUUCGGCAGGGACGAAGGGAAACUGACGGUACCUGCAGAAGAAGUCCCGGCUAACUACGUGCCAGCAGCCGCGGUAACACGUAGGGGACGAGCGUUGUCCGGAUUCAUUGGGCGUAAAGCGCGCGUAGGCGGCUCGGAAAGUCGGUCGUGAAAUGCCGGGGCUCAACCCCGGGACUGCGUCCGAUACUUCCGGGCUGGAGGUAGGUAGGGGAGAUCGGAAUUCCUGGUGUAGCGGUGAAAUGCGCAGAUAUCAGGAGGAACACCGGUGGCGAAGGCGGAUCUCUGGGCCUUACCUGACGCUGAGGCGCGAAAGCUAGGGGAGCGAA
rnacentral:rRNA from 1 species